rnacentral:rRNA from 1 species
CAGUGCCGCGGUAAUACGUAGGGUGCGAGCGUUAAUCGGAAUUACUGGGCGUAAAGCGUGCGCAGGCGGUUGUGUAAGACAGGUGUGAAAUCCCCGGGCUUAACCUGGGAACUGCGCUUGUGACUGCACAGCUAGAGUAUGGCAGAGGGGGGUGGAAUUCCACGUGUAGCAGUGAAAUGCGUAGAGAUGUGGAGGAACACCGAUGGCGAAGGCAGCCCCCUGGGCCAAUACUGACGCUCAUGCACGAAAGCGUGGGCAGCAAACAGGAUUAGAUACCCCAGUAGUCCCUGUCUCUUAUACA